UUUUUUUUUUUUUUUUUUAACAUGUAUCAGUUAUUUCCCUCUGGGAUAGACUUUGCACCUGUCUUCUGGAACAUGUAAACUAACGUUAGAUAUGUGUGGAAACAGUAAGGGUGAAGAACUAGAGGUGAUGGCUCAGGCAGGGAUGAUGCUGGAAGCACCAAAAGAAGCUGGGUCUGGAGCCAAGUUUCUGCUGUUAUUGGAGGGAAAAUGAAGGAAACUGGAAAACCAAAAGAAAUUGCUCCUUUCCCCUCUUUGUUUCUCUAAUCUUCCUCUAGUCAUUGGCACAGCUUUACAGGAAGCCAACCGACAAGGGAGUCUGGGAAGUCACAUUUGCAGAGUCUCAGCCCCAGUAUCACAGAGCAAAGUGUGAAAGAACAGUCUGGAAGGUGAGAUGCAGUGGGUGAAUAGCUGAUCCUGGUAUGGUCCCAGCAUUGUUUCAUUUAUUAAUUUAUUUUGCACAUAGCAUCCAUUCACCUUCUCUGGGAAAAAGAAAUACUAUUGAAAAUUUUUGGAGAUCACCCUUUUCUCAUUCUCAGCCCUUGAAAAUUAGGUAAAAUGUCACACCCACAGCUCCAGAGGUGAGUCUUAGUUGGGUUUAAACCAACCAGAGCAUCACAUCAUACUGGUCACAAUGAGGAAGAGCAAAGAGGGAAUAUAAUACACACCAACCAGAGUGAAUGGGAUGAAUAAAGACUUUCUUAAGAAUUCUGAGAUAAGGGCAUAAGAAGCUUAAGGUUGAUCUUGAAAUUCUGUAGACUGGAGCUACUAGCAUGAUCUUUCUGGAACUUGAGUCUAAGCAUAAAGUCAGUAUGUGAAAGAAAGCAGAGCUGAGACAGACACAAUCCAGGUCCCGGGGACAUUGUAUGAGUUCCAAUCUAUCUUUGCCCCAAAACAGCAUUAUCCUAGAACAGUUCCAUGUACAUACUACCCUCCCUUUUUGUGGGCCAGUGUGCAGCAUUGCUUUUGAUAUCUACACAACCCAUUGCUCCAGAGAACUAGCACUGAACAGUCAGAUCUGCCACAAGAUGUAUGCCCAUUUCUAUAAGACCAUCCACCGUUUCUCCUACCAUUACAUGUACAGUCAGUUCUCCACAGAAGGGUCAAAUCUAGGAGCUAGACCUUAUGAAUAUGGUGCUGAUAACCAAAUACAUUUACAGUAAAUCUAUUAUGGACUUAAAUCUGCCAGCUUCAAAAGCAUAUUUGAGGUGGCUAUAAAACAAACACAUGCAGUGUAGAAUGAGGCAAAAUGAAAACAAAUAGAAACCUGCAAAUAGAAUGAACCCAGACUGGAUGCUGGAGGAGCCUAUAGUUGUACCUUGAGUUAGCUCUGAGCUUCCAGACAGUAAGGUGGAAAAGAAACAAGCAUUUACAUAACCCUAACACUCUGAUGAGAUGAAGCCCACAGAUUUGUUUGCAGAAGGAAGAAGCCAUCAAUAUUCAUUCAGCACCUACUAUGUGGCAAGCACAUUCCAUGUAUUUCAUUCACUCCUCUGAGUAAGUCGGUGGAGUGUGUGCUAGUCUCCAAGACUUAGGAAUUAAGAAAGCGGAGGCUCAUAGAAAUUAAGUACCUAGCACAUAGCAUCAGCUACGGCAAAUGGUGAAGUCAUGCCUGGAUUCAUCCACCACCUCCUAGAAUCAAAGCUAUGUGUGAUCCAUGAGAAGUUAGCAGAUGCUCAUUUAGUACCCAAGAGAAUGCAAGAAUCCUCACAUAUGUGGUCACAGUUGACCUUUCCAACAGCCCAGAAAGGUCAUCCCAUGAUCCCCACAUAACAUAUGGGAAAGCCAUGUUGAAUGUGUUUCUUGAUGCUGAGAAAAGGAAGUUCUCAAAGGGAAACCCCUCAAAUCAGGGAUAUUGGUUAUUUGAUGGACAACAUCUCACUUCAGUUUGACAAAAACACAGGGCAGCUUUCCAGAAGGAGAGUGGGAGAACAAAAACAGCCCAGAUCAACCUUUUGGUUUUUGAUGACUUUACUAAAUAAGAGUAUGAAGCUUGGAGGAUCUGGGGAAAUGGGGAAUCGGCCUGCUGUUCUGACUCUCUUUCAAAUUGUCCGUGUCUUGAGCAGGCCUGUGGGAAGGGCUCGGUUUCUGUAUAUCUCUGCUGGGUUCUCUAGACGGCAACUAGAAUGAUCUUUCUAAAAUGCAAAUCAGAGCAUGACAUUAUCCUGCUUAAAAACCUUUAUUAAAGCUGCACAUGGCCUGGAUAAAGUCCAAGACUCUUAAUGUGUUCCUUUAUGACUAAGCCCUCACACUCUGGACUCAUGUGUCACCCCUUUCUUCCCCAAACUGUGCUCUAGUCACACGGAGCUACUUUUAGGCCCUGCUGCAACCUUCCCUCACCUUCUGGCAUUUCUCUGUGCUGCUUCUUCCUCCAAGAAUGCCCUCUCUCUCGCUGCUCCCUCCCUGGGCCCUUCUCAAGCCAUCUUUGCCUGGCUUGCGGCCACUCACAUUUCAGGAGCCAGAUAUGGCCUUGCCUUCCCAGGGACGCCUCCUCUGAAUCCCACAUUUGGACUGAGAUGGCCACAGAACCUGCUCUCAUUCCUGUCCUGGCACUCCCGCACCAAAACACCAUCACCUGAUUUUACACUGGACUCACUGGUUUCUCUGCUGAAGUUCUGGGGCAGUCACUGUGUGUAAGGUGCUUGCAGGCGAUGAGGUGAAUAAACGAAGUGUCUCGAGCAUGAAGUAUUUGGAUGUACAGGUAAAAGAGAUGAUGCCUGUUGUGGACACUUGAAUUCUGAGUUAAAUUCUGCCCUAAGCACAGGGAUGAAGCUGUGGACAAAAAAUUAAUGAUGUUCUAGAGUAGGUUCAAAAAGAGCUGCAGUCGAGGCGCUGGAAGACAAUAUCACCAUGGGCUAGUUGGACCAGUGGCUCUGAGCCAAGGCCUAUGUGACAGAGCAUUGGAUGUUUCUGCUCCAGGGACCAGGCCUGGGCAAGUCCAGAGGUGGGAGGGAAGUAACCGCAGCUGCUGGAACCUACAGAUCAGGGGAGCAGGGGCCCAAACCUAUCUAUGCUGAGCUUUAUUUCUGACUUUAUUUUGUUUGUUGUAACAGGGGCAUUGCUGAUGUGGGGCUCUCUCCCCAGCACCCUGAAAGCCUUGGCGAGCACACCUGUCACAGACACUGGACAGAGCC
rnacentral:lncRNA from 1 species